CCUGCACAAGCCAUACCAUAUGAGGAAACUGUGUGGCAAAUUCAUGCCAUCAAGUCACAAUGAAGUAAUGAUAUUGCAAACUUGUGUAAGAUGCAUCAUAUGUAGGAAGGGAAGAAAAAGGAAAAAUACCGGUCAAAUAAAGCUUGCAAAUGAAAUUUGGAUGGAUAAAAUUCUCUAAGAACAUGAAAAAAAAAUUAAGCAAAGGCUAUGUAUGAAUCAACUUGUCCAUUUUCCAUGUCCACAAAAAAUUGAACCUCAAAUUCGAUGUGCUUUGAAAUGUGCAAGUUUCUCACCCCUACAUCCACCAGAAAGACCUCUGCUUGCAUGUCACAUAACACAAAUGAUUUUUCCAUUCCUUGUGUAGAACUUGAGAAAAUUGUUUAUGGGAUGUGCAAGCAUUUACAACUAUUCAAUGAUCAUAAAAUAAGUCCCAGUGAACAUUUUAUUCAACUUUGAUGUAAUGAUUCAUACGCUAAACUUGAGGUUUGAACGACAACAUAUUUGAAGAAAGUGCAAUUUUAAAGUUAAUAUCUUUAUCACAAAUUUCACAAUCAAAGUUCCUCCUCACUUCUCAGCAUCUUCAUUACAUCUACCCUACACCUCAACUACUUUCAUCCACUACAACACAUCUCAUGUUUAGCCAUCCUAUUGUCCCACUCCAUUUUUCCCCAAAUUCCUCACUCCAUUCAUCAACAAACCAAUUUUAGCACAACCAACCAACUAACCCUCCAUCACUCUAGGAAGUUUUAAACGUAACUUGAAAGUGUUAGCAUGAAUCACCACAAAAACACCCUUUGAAAGACAGGAUAGAGCAAAUGAAAAUUAUGGGUAACCUGAAAGCAAAUUGUAGUAGACUGUUACAUCAGAUAAAUUGUGAUAUUUGAUAAAUGAUAAUGACACACCUCAUUAGACUGUACUUUUAAGCACGCUCGCAAUGCUGGAUUCUCCAACUUUUGCAGCAGUACACCAAGGCAGGGGAAG
rnacentral:misc_RNA from 1 species